rnacentral:ncRNA from 1 species
AAGAAGAGUAGAAGCGGUCAGGAAGCGUUCAGUUUCCGGGACAUUGCUCUUGGG